AUAUCUAGCCAAAAUAAUUAGAAAAUUAUCUUGAGCCUAAAGUAAAUUUAAGGCAGCUCAAACUCGAUCAAACUGCGAACCUAACCUAAAUAUCCGCUUCCCAUCCCAACAAACGUACGAGUAACACUCGGCUGGCUUUCGUCGCAACUACUUUUCACCCAAUUCAAUUUCCAAACAUUAAAAACACUGUGUAGAGGCAACCGGCCGAGUGCACUUCACCCAAUUAACGUUUUUGAUGGGACCAAUUUAAAGAUCCAGCCGCUCUGUCGUGCGCUCGCCUAUGUGUUUAUCCUCCGUGUGGCAAUGGGCGCGGCGUGACACAGUGUGAAACUCGAUAGGUCCGUGUUCCGUUCGCGUUUCUUCGAACCGUGUGUGCAUGUGAUCCGUGGUAAUUACCCGAUAUAUAUCCAACAGGCUAGUCUAGGCGCAUCAUCUCAUCCAUUUCAGAGAACGACGCAAUUUUUCCAUCCACCCUGCUGUUAAAUGGUUUCGGUGCUCUUCCUACACGUUCCAUCAGCUUCUCGUUACGAGCUUCCCCGAGUUUCUGGAACAACCCUAUCGCGUCGUUUCGCUGUUUGCAGCACGGGUUGAGUGCCGAUGCAAAUAAUCCUCUCUGCUGUUGCCAAGUUUCACGAUGCCAGGAUUUAUUGGUUAAUCGAUGAGAAUCCUCUCGAUUCUGUAUCUGUUUGAACGAGUAGUUUGGUGUUUGGUGAAUUCGAGACGAGUUAUGGAUCUUUCGUAGCUUGGUAGAUUUUCCAGGGUCUAUUAGGAAUUUUUAUUGGGAAUAUUAGACCUCGAGCUUAUUAAAUUUCUCUAUUUACUUGAAGCAACCUACGCAUUUUCCUUUUUGUCUUUUCCUAAUGCGUAAUUUUUAUUUAGCAUAGCUGUAAUUUCACAUAGGUAGAAUGAAACAUAAUCAAACGCAUUGCACUACAUCAAAAGUUUGGGUCUAAACAUAGCUAAGCAUCAGGGAAGGGCAGACGAUCUAAUAGUCGAAACACGUACAGUUCGUGUUCGUUCAGAAAUUCGUAUUCGCUAUCGAUUUACAAUGCACAGAGAAUUAUUACACCCCUGCUGCUCCCUGAAACCAUCCACAAUUACAAUUCACCUUGAAAUCCCUCGAAUCCCUAACAUAAACUACUUUAAAGUAUCAGCGAAUUGUAAAUCCCCCGAAAAAGAAGCGAGAUCGAGUCUUUACUUGGCGAGCUCGAACAAAAUCAUUCCAACAGACAGGAUCAACGGAAAAGCAAUAAAAUUUCAGGCCAACUACCGUAAGAACGAGACUGGCAGGUGUAGGCGUAGCGACGAGGGGAGAGCAUCGAUGGUGUUGGAGGUCCCGAAACCGGGGUUGUUAGCCGGUGACGACGAUUCGAACCACGUCGUCGUGGCGACCCACGCGUCGGACCUCCCGCGAGGUUCUCAACCUUGUUUACAUAAAUCAUCAGAAACGGUCUGGAUGCUCGACAGACGCGGCUCUCGCUUCGUCCUUCGGCCGAUCCAACGACCCCGUCUCGAAUAAACCCAACCGCGAGAAUAAAAGCGUGCCGACAAAGCGAAGAAGGACGUAUACAAGGCUGGUCCACGGUUCUGAACCGAGUUCAACGAGACUAACGGAGCAACGGUGCCUGUAAACCGAGAAGACAGGGGUUUCAUGCACUGCAUCCGGUUUAAAGAAAUCGAAGCUCGAGAACUGCUGACCUUUCCAUGAAGAAUUGCAUUAGGACGAAAAGUUGCGGAAUGUUCUUCCUAUUAAUCGAAAGCACGCGAUCGAAGAGGAGCAAGAGAGGAGGGCAACGAGUCGCUAAACAGGCGCCACGAUCGUCCUUCAACUCUCCACAGCGAGAAUGAACGGGUUCACGGUUCACCCCUUCUUUCUAUGCCAGUUCGUGGUCACCACGUUCCCCUUUCUCCCUCCGUCUUCCUCGACCGGGGUAUAUUAUGAUCUUGUCCAGAGGCAGACGGCCUACAGACUUAACGAUCGAUAGAGCUUCCCCGUUCCCGCCUCUCUUCUGUAGAACGUUCUCUUUCCCUUGUGCCGCGCCGCUUGCGCCUCUACCCCCACCACCGGCACAUUCUCCCUCUACGCCAAUCGGCCUGCGCCAGGCCAACGAUGGCGCGUUACACGCAACGCGCUCACAGUGGCGUCGACGCUCGAUUUAAAAUAUUUGCUACGUUGGCUAUGAUUUUAGUCGAUGAAAUACGAAAAAGUACACGGCUCGAACGCAUCCGAACACAUACUAAUUUUUUAUUAGAUAUAUUUCAAUUACAAAAGUACGGUCAAAUCGAGAUAACACGAUUUUCUUCUUCGUGACCGUAUAAUUGUAUGUCACAAGCCGAGUAAACAGAUCACAGUUGAAAGUCAAUGCGAACAGUACUGCGCUAUACGUGGUAUAUGUGUAACAAUAAAAUUGGCAAUUAACGAAGCUUAUUCGACUAUCGUAUGACAACCUCUUUAUCUCCAGAUUGUUUUUUUCUUUUUUAACUUCGUAGCUAUUAGCAGGAAAACGUUAUACAAAAAAAUUGUUACUUUUGAUAACGUUUACCGGAAGGUAACCUAGGCGAUAGAGUAUGGACCUGAUUCAUUAUUUCGGACAGCACAUUGGUCGAAAGCGUCGGAUGUUCAAACAACAAUCACUUGGUAACUGAGAGGAAAUCACACAGCAAGCGAUCGAGGGAGUGGGUACUGCUCUUGCAUGCUCGCCUUGUCCCGUCUGUGUCAUCUCGCUAGCCAUCUUCUCGUAUCGUCAGUGGCUCGUGAAAGUACUUGAACGCUUGCUAAAAUACAUUAUUUAAUAAACUACUAUGGAGAAGUUCCAUAGUUCCAUCUAUAAAUCGGAAGCAAUUUUGGAUACACGCCCACAAGUCCCCUACCCUGUGCGAACUCGAUCUUGGAAGUGUAUUUUCGACCAAUCCAGACCUGUCCUCGCGAAAAUAUGGCCUAGGUCGGGGAUGUCGCAACCGCACCACGCGUUUGCAUUUCUCCAAUUCGAUAUCUUAUCCUCAAACUCCUCUGUUUCCAUCCACCCCGAAGGAAAAAUAAGGGACACUCAGGGUAAACUUUGUUCACCUGACGGGACAGUUCUUUAUCCUCACCAAGAUGUUAUUGCGAAUUUGUAUGUAUUAUUAUAUUGUAUAAUUUGAAUGCAGAUGGAAGACAGAGUUCAAACGAUACGAGCAUUUUAUACUAAUAACAAAAGCUUUACGUAACGAAAGGCUGCAUUCGCUAAAGAACAGGGGAAGCUUCUACUUUAUUUAUUAAAUAAAGAUUAAAAGGGUGGGGAAGAUAAAAAGCUACGAUACAAUACGAGAAAUCGAUCUUCCAACAUCAGACGGCUUACACGAAGACAGAGGAAGUUUCUUUCUACAUCGCGCUACGAAAAUAACCCUCUGUAAUGCCACGUAAUUUCCAACUUAUAUAUCCAUAUACAUAUAUAGAUAUACGUACAUACGUUUCUUGCGUUUCGUUUCAUGCAUAUCACAGCCCCAUUCUAGCUUAUUAAUAAACAUGUAUAGUACGAUAUAGUAUAGUCAUGGUACAUGGUACAUGGUACACGGUACUCGGUACAUGGUACACGGUACAUGGUACAUGGUACAUGGUACAUGGUACAUGGUACAUGGUACAUGGUACAUGGUACAUGGUACAUGGUACAUGGUACAUGGUACAUGGUACAUGGUACAUGGUACAUGGUACAUGGUACAUGGUACAUGGUACAUGGUACACGGUACACGGUACACGGUACAUGGUACACGGUACAUGGUACAUGGUACACGAUACAUAGUACAUGGUACAUGGUACAUACGUGUAAUACUCUGUAGGGUAGUUAUCAUAACACAACUAUGAAUCUUUCUUCUUUACUAUAAACCAUACGCUUUCCUUCGCCACUGUACAUAAAAUAUUUCUAUCACCAGUCAGUGUACGUAACGAAAUGAAUAAAUUCACGAAGAAUUAAAAACCGAUUCGAAUCAAUUUGCUUCGACUAACGAAACGAUAGUAAGCCACUCGCUGUGGAUAAAAAUGCAGCUUUCUGUGGAUUUGAUAUAGCGAUAGUUAUCGACUAUGCGAAGCAAAGUCGGUCGAGCGUGGCGUCGCGACGCGUCCAGGAACGAAAGCGCGUCCGGGUUGGCGGCAGAAAGGGAAAGAGGAGCAGUGAGGGAAAAACGGGAAGGCUGGCGACACAGUGGCACCGGUGCAGCGGCCGAAAUUUAGACCUGGCCCGUGGGGCGUCGCGACGCCUAACGCGCGGCCAACUGCACUACCGUCAGCCGCGUUUAUUGAUCGACCCGAUGCAACCAAGCUGGGCCACAGCUGGCCGGGCUUACCUCGUUCGUUCCUUACAAGUUCGAACCGUCUCUAUGCCGCGCUGCCGACAUCCUCGUCUCUAUAUAUCUACGCUCUGUUUACUCCCCGUCGGGAGACCUAUUUUCGAACCACCCAGCGCCAAUUAUCGGGAUCCACGAUCGAAAACACGAUCCUUCCCUGGACAAGGUUUUUUUUAUAAACAAAAGAACGGACAGAACUGGUGGUGCAGAAGAAUCGUUGAAUUUAUCGAGGAGCUUUGAUAUUUGUGAAUUCGUCACCAGGUCUGUGAAUGUUUCGUAGAAAAAUGAACUUCGAUAGUGAAUCACGUUGUUCGAGGAAGAUUGAUAAAUUAGAAUUUAGACAGAUUUUCGUGAAUUGUCAAAGUUGCUGAAUUUUGAUAUCCGCCAACUUCUGUUCAAUUAUCGUUUACAUGGUAGGAAUAGGAAAAUUGAUCGAGUCUGUGUGCGAGUUUUGUCGAGAAUGUUUGACCAAGAUCGAUAAACAAGAAAUUUCAAGGCAACCUUUUUUCAUAGAAUUACUGCAAUUUGGAAAAUGUAUUUUAUCGAACGAUAAAUUCAUCGUUCUUCGAUUGAUGCGUUGUUAACGGUCGAGUGCUUCUCUGUAAAUAAAUAAAAUCCGAGUGAAAUGCCUGGGCAAUAUGCUCGAUUUUUAUCAAAGAACGCGAUUGGCACCGAAAACCGUGAAUCAGAAAGAAUUGCGAAAAAAUGACACGGUUUUACUCGGAGCAGUAAUAAUGGCACGUGUUCGUUCAGAGAAUACAACGGUUGCAAAAUAGAGAAAACGUUUCAAUGGAGGAGUUUUCCAGUAGUAUAGGACGCUAGUGUCUGACUAUACGUGCGUUACUACUGUAGAGCAGAAAUCUAUUGUGAAGUAGAAAAUAAUCGACAAUGGCAGACUCGCUGGUGUCUGACUCUUAUAGGCCGCUUCUACUUUACGAUUCCUACGCACUGCGCGGCCUUUAUUUUAAGCUCUAUAACUGGGAAUCUUUUUUCGUGAAAGGAAGAAGAAAAAUGACGAACUUAAAGAGAAUGUAGCGCGGAUUACGAAAUUUGUAUUUCAGGAAAAUGUUAAGCAAAGUUGAAACAUCAAACAAUUUUCAUCGAAAAAUCUGCGUGAUUUCAAAGGAUUUUAGAAUACGUUAUUUUACGGUA